ensembl:misc_RNA
UUAUAAGGAAGGCGCCGGUCCUCCAUUUCAGCCUUUCUCUCUGCCGGGACGCGGCCGUGGCGUUUCUGGUCUUGUAAACACAAGACUCUUUGGGGCCU